rnacentral:rRNA from 1 species
ACGGACGCUGGCGGCAGGCCUAACACAUGCAAGUCGAGCGCGCCCUUCGGGGUGAGCGGCGGACGGGUGAGUAACGCGUGGGAACGUGUCCUUUUCUACGGAAUAGCCUCGGGAAACUGAGAGUAAUACCGUAUACGCCCUUUGGGGGAAAGAUUUAUCGGAAAAGGAUCGGCCCGCGUUGGAUUAGGUAGUUGGUGGGGUAAUGGCCUACCAAGCCGACGAUCCAUAGCUGGUUUGAGAGGAUGAUCAGCCACACUGGGACUGAGACACGGCCCAGACUCCUACGGGAGGCAGCAGUGGGGAAUCUUAGACAAUGGGGGCAACCCUGAUCUAGCCAUGCCGCGUGAGUGAUGAAGGCCUUAGGGUUGUAAAGCUCUUUCAGCUGGGAAGAUAAUGACGGUACCAGCAGAAGAAGCCCCGGCUAACUCCGUG